rnacentral:rRNA from 1 species
GCAUAUCAAUAAGCGGAGAAAAGAAACCAACUGGGAUUGCCUUAGUAACGGCGAGUGAAGCGGCAAAAGCUCAAAUUUGAAAUCUAGUGCCUUCGGUACUCGAGUUGUAAUUUGAAGAAUUUAUCUCCUUUCCAAACCUUUAUCUAUGUUCCUUGGAACAGGACGUCAUAGAGGGUGAGAAUCCCGUGUGAUUUUGGAUUUGGAAUUUUGUGAGAUUUAUUCGAAGAGUCGAGUUGUUUGGGAAUGCAGCUCUAAGUGGGUGGUAAGUUCCAUCUAAAGCUAAAUAUUGGCAAGAGACCGAUAGCGAACAAGUACAGUGAUGGAAAGAUGAAAAGAACUCUGAAGAGAGGGUGAAAAAGUACGUGAAAUUGCUGAAAGGGAAGGGCUUUAGGUCAGACUUGGUGUUUAAUACUCAGUUCUCCUUGUGGGAGCUGCUCUUGUUUUUCACUGGGCCAAUAUCAGUUUUGACGAUAGAGCACCUCUGGAAAUGUGGCUAUCUUCGGAUAGUGUUAUAGUCUGGAGACGAUCUAUUGUUGGGACUGAGGUCUGCGCUUUUGCUAGGAUAUUGGCAUAAUGACCUUAAGCCGCCCGUCUUGAAACACGGACCAAGGAGUCUAACGUCUAUGCGAGUGUUUGGGUGUAAAACCCGUACGCGAAAUGAAAGUGAACGUAGGUUGGGGCCUUCGGGUGCACAAUCGACCGAUCCUGACGUUUUCAGAUGGAUUUGAGUAAGAGCAUAGCUGUUGGGACCCGAAAGAUGGUGAACUAUGCCUGAAUAGGGUGAAGCCAGAGGAAACUCUGGUGGAAGCUCGUAGCGGUUCUGACGUGCAAAUCGAUCGUCGAAUUUGGGUAUAGGGGCGAAAGACUAAUCGAACCAUCUAGUAGCUGGUUCCUGCCGAA